CUACACUAUUUUCACAUGAUGAGGAUAACAGCAUUCACUAACAACCAAUUUCAUUAUCGAUUCGAUUAGUUGUUGCAGCUCUAAUAAUAAAUAAUAAACUCAGUGUUUCAAAGAGAAUAAAAACCCAUAAAGUUUGGAAACUCACUGUUCCAGCAGUCGUACAGUCGCUCUAUUAAACAUUUUUCUACUAUUGAACAUCAGGUAGCUGCUCCAUCAACACUUUCAUCUCAUAAGGAGCACGAGACUGAGAGGAACCACCACAUCCAGAGUCCACCCACAUCCAGCUCAAGUUCCAGCUGUGGAGGAGAAACCAGCUGCAGCUCAAGUUCCAGCUGUGGAGGAGAAACCAGCUGCAGCUCAAGUUCCAGCUGUGGAGGAGAAACCAGCUGCAGCUCAAGUUCCAGCUGUGGAGGUGAAACCAGCACAAGUUUAAAAUUCAGUUAAAGCUCCUUCAGCAUCUCGUCUUUUACUUCUUACAAUCUGACUUCAGUUCAUCACCUCACCAUCUGUGGCGCUAUUUCCCCUUUUCACCUUCUGUGUCUCCAGUAUGUGUGUACACAUGCUCAGAGUUUACUUACAGGCACACAUUCUCCUGUUAGGUUUUUUAUAAUCACAACCUUUGUGUGGAACUACAGCUCUACUGACUGAACUCGCCGGGAACGCUGCCUGUUCUGCCCUGUUCCAUGAAAGCAGCAGCAUGUUGGAAACUGGAUUAUCUGCACUUCUUUUGUACUUUAAGAAUUGUGCUGUGCUCAGCAGUAAAACUCAAUGGAACUCAAACUGUCUUGUGUUUAAUGGUGAGAAAAGUGCCAAAGUCUGCCAGAGACACUGUUCAAUUCUCAAUUAAAUCUCAGGAAAUUGUAGACAAGUCAAGACAUCAGCAAACUUCAUCACUGCUGUGAUGCCGAGUGGUGAAGGUGUUGGACUUGAAAUCUAAUGGUGUUUCCCCACGCAGGUUUGAAUCCUGCUCACAGCGUUUCAUCAAUGUGUGAUAGUGAUUUCUUGUUAAGUCUUUACUGUGUGAAGUGAACAAUGUACAGAAGUGUUUCAUGCAUAGAAGAAACGUUGGAAACAAACAUUAUCUGGUUUACUUGAGGUGAAAGUUGUUUUGCUGGGACGAGGAGGAAGAACAUUAGAACUCACAUUACCUCUUUAGGAAACAUGAUUCGUCUUGUGCUUUCUACAAGAUCCAAAAGGUUCAGAAAGAUCUUUUUAAACUUCUUGGACGUUGUUGCCACAAAGUCUUACAUACAGGGUUCCUGCGGGGUCUUAAAAAGUCUUGAAUUUAACUUGAAGAAACCUGUGGGAACCCUGUACAUCAUACACAAGGAACUACACGCCAACAGGAACAAUACGGUGUCUAUAGAACAACAUGUUGCAGAGCUCUGAGGUGUUGCACUUUUCAGACAGAUUUACUACAGAAAUGUAUUUUUAUAAAUGGGUUAAUUACACAAGUGUCCAUUAGGUGGCAAUGUGUCCUCUAUUCCUUCCCCAUGACAGACUCAUAGAUCAAAGCCACAGAAAAAGAUGAUAAUGAUGAUGAAGAUGAGGUGUAAAAUUACUGGGUUUUAAACUACUCAGCAUUUUAUACUUUUGAGGAAACAUCUGCAAAUUGGAAAACAAACAAUAUUCACUACAUGCACAGUUUUGAAUCUCUGUUCCAGAGUGUCUUUUACAAAAUGUAAUCCAGAAUUAUGAAUUUGAUGACAGCAGCACAAUCUCUUUUCAUUGAAGUCAGUGUCAGUGCCUAGUUUUAAGAACUGCUGAAAGCUAAUUAGCUGAUAAGGUGAAUUUGUUUCUAUUUUUGUCACUCGGUUAAGAUCAGACAUGUUAUGAAGGACAUUCAGAACAUUCAUUCAGAAUAUUUAGGAAGUGCGGUAUUCAGGUGAGGCAAAAAAUCUAACAUGAUGACUUUUCAAUGAGACUUAAUGUAAUGCCCAAGUGGUGAAGGUGUUGGUUUUGAAAUCUAACAAGGUUUCUGUGUGCAGCAUUAAAGACUUCUUACCAUGUGUCAA